UACGGAAGGGGGCUAGCGUUGCUCGGAAUCACUGGGCGUAAAGCGCACGUAGGCGGAUUGUUAAGUCCAGGGGUGAAAUCCUGGAGCUCAACUCCAGAACUGCCUUUGAUACUGGCGAUCUUGAGUUCGGGAGAGGUGAGUGGAACUGCGAGUGUAGAGGUGAAAUUCGUAGAUAUUCGCAAGAACACCAGUGGCGAAGGCGGCUCACUGGCCCGAUACGUGACGCUGAGG
rnacentral:rRNA from 1 species